rnacentral:rRNA from 1 species
AGUCGAGCGAGGUCCAUCCAGUGGUAACACUGGUGAAGACCUAGCGGCGAACGGGUGAGUAACACGUGAGAAACCUGCCCCGAAGACUGGGAUAACUCUCCGAAAGGAGAGCUAAUACCAGAUGCCCUCACCGGGCCGCAUGACUUGGUGAGGAAAUGGAUUCCGCUUCGGGAGGGUCUCGCGGCCUAUCAGCUUGUUGGUGAGGUAACGGCUCACCAAGGCUUCGACGGGUAGCUGGUCUGAGAGGAUGAUCAGCCACACUGGGACUGAGACACGGCCCCGACUCCUACGGGAGGCAGCAGUGGGGAAUCUUGCGCAAUGGGCGAAAGCCUGACGCAGCAACGCCGCGUGGGGGAUGAAGGCUCUCGGGUUGUAAACCCCUUUCAGCAGGGAAGAUUAUGACGGUACCUGCAGAAGAAGCCCCGGCCAACUACGUGCCAGCAGCCGCGGUAAUACGUAGGGGGCAAGCGUUGUCCGGAUUUAUUGGGCGUAAAGAGCUUGUAGGCGGCUUGGUAAGUCGAGUGUGAAAACUCCAGGCUCAACCUGGAGACGCCAUUCGAUACUGCCAUGGCUAGAGUCCGGUAGAGGAGCACGGAAUUCCUGGUGUAGCGGUGAAAUGCGCAGAUAUCAGGAGGAACACCAGCAGCGAAGGCGGUGCUCUGGGCCGGUACUGACGCUGAGAAGCGAAAGCGUGGGGAGCGAACAGGAUUAGAUACCCUGGUAGUCCACGCCGUAAACGUUGGGCACUAGGUGUGGGUCCCUAUCGACGGGAUCUGUGCCGUAGCUAACGCAUUAAGUGCCCCGCCUG